UACGGAGGGUGCGAGCGUUGUUCGGAAUUAUUGGGCGUAAAGCGCGUGUAGGCGGCUUGUUAAGUCUGAUGUGAAAGCCCUGGGCUCAACCUGGGAAGUGCAUUGGAUACUGGCAGACUUGAGUACGGGAGAGGGUAGUGGAAUUCCUAGUGUAGGAGUGAAAUCCGUAGAUAUUAGGAGGAACACCGGUGGCGAAGGCGGCUGCCUGGACCGAUACUGACGCUGAGACGCGAAAGCGUGGGUAGCAAACAGG
rnacentral:rRNA from 1 species